rnacentral:rRNA from 1 species
UACGGAGGGUGCAAGCGUUAUCCGGAUUUAUUGGGUUUAAAGGGUCCGUAGGCGGAUCUGUAAGUCAGUGGUGAAAUCUCACAGCUUAACUGUGAAACUGCCAUUGAUACUGCAGGUCUUGAGUAAGGUAGAAGUAGCUGGAAUAAGUAGUGUAGCGGUGAAAUGCAUAGAUAUUACUUAGAACACCAAUUGCGAAGGCAGGUUACUAUGUCUUAACUGACGCUGAUGGACGAAAGCGUGGGAGCGAACAGG